CUAAGGUAUUGGCCAUAUGGUAUAUUCGCCUUUACAUGAAAUGGAUGGAAACUAUCCCAAUGUAAUAAACUGUUCGUAGCAGUGGGUUUUCUAUAUAGUGAGGUGGAUACUAAUCCAUCCACUGACAGAGAGAUGGUAAGGUCCAAAAAGACUAAGUGGCUCUCAUGGAUAACAUGAGUAAGUUUAAGAUUAAUUUGGUUGAUG